rnacentral:rRNA from 1 species
CUGCUGCCUCCCGUAGGAGUCUGGGCCGUAUCUCAGUCCCAAUGUGGCCGGCCAACCUCUCAGUCCGGCUACUGAUCGUCGCCUUGGUGGGCCGUUACCUCACCAACUAGCUAAUCAGACGCGAGGCCAUCUUCCAGCGAUAAAUCUUUGACGUCGGAGUCAUGCGGCUCCAACGUAUCAUGCGGUAUUAGCAGUCGUUUCCAACUGUUGUCCCCCUCUGGAAGGCAGGUUCCUCACGCGUUACU